GACGAACCGUGCGAACGUUGUUCGGAAUCACUGGGCUUAAAGGGCGCGUAGGCGGCAGUUCAAGUCCGGGGUGAAAUCCUCCAGCUCAACUGGAGAAGUGCCUUGGAUACUGGAUUGCUCGAGGGAGGUAGGGGUCGAGGGAACUUCUGGUGGAGCGGUGAAAUGCGUUGAUAUCAGAAGGAACGGCCGGUGGCGAAAGCGUCUCGACUG
rnacentral:rRNA from 1 species